ensembl:lncRNA
CUCCCCUAAUUGUAGUAAACUUAAAUGGACAAUAAUACUUAGGCUAUUUGUUUGUUUUUAGUCCCAGCCUUCAGCUACCCUCAACCCCUCACAUCUAUCUUUUACAGAUUGUAAAUUAAAGGUAAACAUUUUUGCUAAGAGUAUUAUUAUAGUAUUGAUCGAUUGACUUUUCAAAUCACCCAGCAGUGCUAUUUGCAGAGUUAGCUCAUAGUAAAUGUUUCACUGACCUUACUGGAAGUCCCUGUAGCCUCUAUUUUAACAGUCCUCUCUGUAAAUCCCUGUUCGUCCGGCAGAGAGAAUAAACUAACAAGCUAACCUACUUUUCCCCCCAUAACUGAAACCUGGACUGAGGUUGGGCCCCGACUGCUCUGGGAGAAUGUCUUCACAUUGGACUGUGCUGGCUUGCUGGAUGGAUGUGUGUGUGUCUGUAAACGCUGGCGGGGUAUUGGAGGAGAUUUAUGACCUCACUUCAGGCUGAAAUAACAGCCCAUCCAGUCCCAUAGACAUGUUCCAUAUCCCAGUAUUAGUCCCCCCUUCCCUCUAUAGUUGGUGUCUUCCAAAACUAUGCAGUUAGCAGCAAGAAAAUAGUAUGCAUUUUCCAGCUCAUGUGAACCAUCAAGCUCUCUGAAAACGGAAUAACAAACAAAUAUUUCCAUGUGUUUGACAUUAAUUUGGGUUGUUACUUCUUCUAUGAGUCUUAUUUGCAGGUCAUUUGAACUCAGAAAAAUAUGCUGAAUUUAUGCAACUAAUACAUAAUGUCACAUUCUGACCUUAGUUCCUUUGUUUUGUCUUUGUUUUAGUAUGGUCAGGGCGUGAGUUGGGGUGGGCAGUCUAGGUUUGUUUUUCUAUGUUGGUUUUUGUGUUCGGCCUAGUAUGGUUCUCAAUCAGAGACAGGUGUCGUUAGUUGGUAGCCUUUUUCCACCUGGGUUUCGUGGGUGUUUAUUUUCUGUUCAGUGUUUUGUUGCACCUUACAGAACUGUUCGUUUGUCGUUUUUUUCAGUGUUCAGUUGUUUUAUUAAAAUAAUGGACACUUGCCACGCUGCGCAUUGGUCCUCUCUUUCUCCAGACGACAACCGUUACACAUAACUGGUUUAGCUGAGGAGAAAAGCACAUGGUGAGGGACGUCAUGGCCGACAGCAGAGUGCUGGGACACCAGGGACGUGUUUCUUUUACGUCUGCUACGUUUGGAAGGUGUUUAUUUUUUGCCUGCUAAGUUAGGAAGGUGUUUAUUCUACGCCUGCUACGUUAGGUUAGGAAGGUGUUUAUUUUAUGCCUGCUACGUUAGGUUAGGAAGGUGUUUCUUUUACGCUUGCUACGUUAGGAAGGUGUUUCUUUUACGCCUGCUACGUUAGGAAGGUGUUUCUUUUACGCCUGCUACGUUAGGAAGGUGUUUCUUUUACGCCUGCUACGUUAGGAAGGUGUUUCUUUUACGCCUGCUAAGUUAGGAAGGUGUUUAUUCUACGCCUGCUACGUUAGGUUAGGAAGGUGUU